GAUGAACGCUGGCGGCGUGCCUAAUACAUGCAAGUCGAGCGAACGGACGAGAAGCUUGCUUCUCUAAUGUUAGCGGCGGACGAGUGAUUAACACGUGGAUAACCUACCUAUAAAACUUGGCUAACUUCGGGAAACCGGAGCUAAUACCGGAUAAUCUUUUGAACCGCAUGGUUCAAAAGUAAAAGACGGUCUUGCUGUCACUUAUAGAUGGAUCCGCGCUGCAUUAGCUAGUUGGUAAGGUAACGGCUUACCAAAGCAACGAUGCAUAGCCGACCUGAGAGGGUGAUCGGCCACACUGGAACUGAGACACGGUCCAGACUCCUACGGGAGGCAGCAGUAGGGAAUCUUCCGCAAUGGGCGAAAGCCUGACGGAGCAACGCCGCGUGAGUGAUGAAGGUCUUCGGAUCGUAAAACUCUGUUAUUAGGGAAGAACAUAUGUGUAAGUAACUGUGCACAUCUUGACGGUACCUAAUCAGAAAGCCACGGCUAACUACGUG
rnacentral:rRNA from 1 species